UGGGGAAUUUUGGACAAUGGGCGAAAGCCUGAUCCAGCAAUGCCGCGUGUGUGAAGAAGGCCUUCGGGUUGUAAAGCACUUUUGUCCGGAAAGAAAUCCUUGGCUCUAAUACAGUCGGGGGAUGACGGUACCGGAAGAAUAAGCACCGGCUAACUACGUGCCAGCAGCCGCGGUAAUACGUAGGGUGCAAGCGUUAAUCGGAAUUACUGGGCGUAAAGCGUGCGCAGGCGGUUUGCUAAGACCGAUGUGAAAUCCCCGGGCUCAACCUGGGAACUGCAUUGGUAACUGGCAGGCUAGAGUAUGGCAGAGGGGGGUAGAAUUCCACGUGUAGCAGUGAAAUGCGUAGAGAUGUGGAGGAAUACCGAUGGCGAAGGCAGCCCCCUGGGCCAAUACUGACGCUCAUGCACGAAAGCGUGGGGAGCAAACAGGAUUAGAUACCCUGGUAGUCCACGCCCUAAACGAUGUCAACUAGUUGUUGGGGAUUCAUUUCCUUAGUAACGUAGCUAACGCGUGAAGUUGACCGCCUGGGGAGUACGGUCGCAAGAUUAAAACUCAAAGGAAUUGACGGGGUCAUAGCUGUUUCCU
rnacentral:rRNA from 1 species